GAAUGAUCUCGGGCAUCAAUCUAAAGAGAGUUUGGUAGCUUUCCCUUUACACGGGCAAUUGCCUUAUCUUAUUAAAGGAAAAGGAAGAACUCGCUUUCGCUGGGCACCAAGGCUUCUUAAACUCCUAACUUCCCUUGAGCCUGGUUAAGAAAGGAAAGCCGGUCCAAUCCUAGCUUCUGAAAGAAGAGAAAAGAUCAUCAGACCUGCAACCCCAUAACUGACAGCGAAGACUUCGAAUGAUAGAUCGACGGAAGUGACCCAUAACUAAUGGUGUACUUCGCUCGUCAAGCAAGAAAUGAAAAUCAGCCCUUGAUGCGUGAGGGCUGUUAAAAAGCAGCAAAGAAAAAGGCAUUGCACCUCACCUCACUAAGAGGCUACCGAAAUAGUCCUACUUCUAGCAUUGACUCCAUCGACAACAAA
rnacentral:misc_RNA from 1 species